UCCUUCAUCAACGACAUCUUCGAGAAGCUGGCCGGCGAGUCGGCCAAGCUGGCGCGCUACAACAAGAAGCCCACCAUCACGUCCCGCGAGAUCCAGACCUCCGUCCGCCUCGUCCUCCCCGGCGAGCUCGCCAAGCACGCCGUCUCCGAGGGCACCAAGGCCGUCACCAAGUUCACCUCCGCCUGAUUCGGUCCUGUCCCUGUGUGUGUCUUCCUGGUGGAUGGAUCGAUGUCGCCCUGUAGUUUCCUGCUCGGACUUUGUCCUCUUGUAACUUGUGCUGGCUGUGUCUUGUGUGGGAUCAUAUUUCAUGAUCUGGAGAAAUAGUAGCGGUGCUUAUUUCAGUUCUUGCCAUGAUCCUGUUCGUGCUACUUUGUCUUGGUUCGAUCUGUGGUGCAAGCUCGCUUUUCUCUGUAAAUCUCUGUGGACGACGACUGUGAACUUGCAGAGAUGUUUCCCUGUCUCAAUUCUGAAUUUCAGUUUUCAGCGAAUGGUUUAGUGCUCUGUUUCAGUUUGGUAAGCUCGCUUCAUGAGAUGUUUCCCUGUGAUCAUAUUCUGAAUUUCAGUUCUUGCCAUGAACUUUACUCGAUUAGUCUCUGAUGGUGCCUGAGAUGAAGUUAAUGGUUUUAGUGCUUUGCCUUGGUCUGGAGUCAACAUCUGGUGUCAAAUUGUGCUGAUGUUCCAUGCGGAAUUUGUGCGCGUUGGAAGGUCAUAUAAUAAGCGUGCGGGAGCAAAAUGAAUUUGGGACAACACCGGGUUUCCCCAUCUGAAUAUAUUCAAUAAAAGAGGCCUCAGAGAACAUCUAAAUAUAUUCAAGAAAAAGGGAGAUCUCCAAGCCGGACACUAGGGACAUCAGGUGUAGCAGGGGAUCAGUUAGGGGGAGUGAUCAGAAACAGAACAAGGAACUAGGCAGAGAUGUUUCUCUGUUGGACUAUGAAUGUAAUCUGAACUUGCGGGGGUGGUGAGUCUAUUUCAGUUAACUGACGAAAGUGUCGGUAUCUUCAGACAUAAACUCAGUUCGCCUGCUCGCUCAAUGGCUUUGAUCGCCUGAAACGUCACUGUUGCUCAUGCAGAUGUUGCCUUUACUGAACAUCUCUGCUCCGUCAUGACAUCGAGCCUUAAAAACCAAAGCUCAUCUCCAAAUAAUCACGGUGAAAUUGGUUUCUUUAUACCUCUGUAUUCUGUACAACACGCGGCAUCAGUUGGAAGCUCAAGUUGACAGCAAAUGAACACGCCGAUCGCACGGUGAUCGAACGAAGAAAUAAUUAGUCCCACCCAGGCGCGCGGCCAGACCACGAGCAGCCCGUGAUUCUGAUUCACUGCUCAGUGGCACACGAUGGUCCCGAAGCAGUCGAUCCCGUCGAACUCCGGCGCGAACCGCGGCGGCAACGUCGGCGGCGACCGCGACUUCCCCUCCUCCGGCUGCUGCUCCGCCUCCGCCGGCAGACCGCCCCGCUUCCCCUCUCGCCCUGCUCUAGCCUGGCCGUCGUCCCGCAGCUUCCUCCCCUGCCGCUGCCAGGAGAACCGAGCGCCGGCGCCGGCGCCGGGGGCGACGUCGGCCGGCGACGCGCUCAGGAUGGAGAAGGCCAGCACCUUGUCCAUGCUCGACUGGAGACGGGGGUGAUUCCUGGCUUCCUGCAGCAGCUCCGGUGGCCGAUGCUUUCUUGCACGCACGCACGCUCGUUCUGUGACUUUGCUUCAAUCAAUCAAUUGGCUUUGCUUGCUUGCUUGCUCGGCUUGGUGAAGGGAGAGAGGGGACGCGACCCGGCUUAUAUACGGCGGGGCAUGGUCAUGGAGGAAGUUUUGGGCAUGGCGGUUUCUUGCGCGCGCUGGAGGAGCCCAGAAUAUUCGUGGACGCGGCCGCGAGGGAGAACCGGCGAGCCAGCUCGUGACGCACGCGGUGGCGUGGCGGAGGUUCCAACCGUCUCGCGUUUCGCCCGUGUCUAUAUUCUUUCCCUCCUGUGCUGUCUUUUUUUUUUGCCUCCCGUGAAAUUGACAAUUCCGGCCAUUUUUUUCUGGGUACAUCUGGCCUUUUUUGAAAGAGAGAAUUCUUUAUUUAACACCGAUAUAUUUGGCCAGUUUGACACAUGAAACCUUUUUCUUCCUCAUCUAACACUACCUCUAAAAUUUAUUGCUUUUGUGAUACUCCGUCCAUUUUAAGUACUAACGGUUUAAAUGACACUUGAAUGACCGUUUUACCCCCGGUGCAACUUGUGGCCAAAAUUAUUCAUAUUACUGAAGAAACAAUAAUUUUUUUCGGUUGUUAAAUGUAAAAUUAGGCAGCUGUAAACAUGCAUAUUUUGGAUUUAAAUUAUUUCAGAAUUUAAUUUAAAUUUUUUGGCAAAACGUCCGCUGUAAUUUCCCCACCUGAAUAUAUGUUACUAAAAGAGGCCUCAAAGAACACCUAAAUAUAUCAUGAAAGAGGGAGAUCACAAAGCCGGACACUAUAUGCAUCAGGUAUAGCUGGGGAUCAACGGAGGGACGCAUCCGUUGAGACAGUGUUUCAGUUCACACCUCUCAAUAUUCAUUUCAGGAGAGCGCUAGCCGGAAACCGUUGGAAAAUUUGGCUCCAUCUUGUGAGAAGACUGAUGGAUAUUCAGCUUUCUCAACAACCCGAUUAGUUAUGCUGGAAGCUAACUAGGAAUGAAGAGUUUACGGUUAAAUCCAUGUAUCUAGAUGUUAUUAAUUCUAGCUCUAUUCCUACUUCGAAACAUGUUUGGCAUGUCAAAGUACCCUUGAGAGUUAAAGUGUUUAUGCGGUUUGUACACAAACAAGUCAUUUUCAUUAAGGAUAACUUGGUAAAAUGCAACUGGACUGGAUCUACUUGAUGUAGUUUUUAUGAUUGGGAUGAAUUCAUCAAAUACCUCUUUCUUGAUUGCCCGUUGGCAAAAAUUUUAUGACGGACAAUUCACAUAGCCUUUAAUAUUACUCCUCCGAAUAAUAUCAACACGUUAUUUGGGACGUGGCUUGAUGGGUUAGAUUCCUAAAUAGCGAGACAUAUUCGUGUAGGAGUAUGUGCUUUAUUAUGGGUUAUCUGGAAUUGCAGAAAUGAUUUGGUCUUUAAUAGAACAACAAAUACUCAUUUUUUGCAGGUUAUCUUCCGUGCCACUGCGUUGAUCAGUAUGUGGUCGCUACUCACUCCGAGGAGGCCAGGGAGCGUUUGGUUAUUGGAUCUAUCCGAUGUGAGAUGGUAGCACGGGCUAUUUUCAACCGGUUUGAAUGGCGAUCAUGUAAUAGGAUAGGCAAUUAGUUUUUCUAUCUUUAUUUUGCCAGCCAGUUGUGGCUUUAUUUAUACUUUUUAGCUUUUUGUGAGCUUCUUUUAUUCUUUUACUUGAGACUUUAAGACCUCUGUCGAACUGUUUUGCUUAGUAAUAAAUGUGGGCGUAUGCAUCUUUCUGAUGCGGAGGCCGGGAUCUCCCCCUUUUUGAAAAAAAGUAUAGCUGGGGAUCAGGAACGGGGAGUGAUCAGAAACAGAACAAGGAACCAGGAAGAUCCAAAAUGAAGUACUAGUCGGGACCAAUACCCAUUCAGGAAGAUCCAAACUGCAAAGUAUAAAAGGGAGAACAAACAAAGCGCAAAUCAUCAAAGAGAGCACAAACCAAUCUAAUAAGGACAUGUACGAUGGUAGCAUUACCUUGGUGAUGCCUCAGUACAGCCAUGUCGGUCCGGAGAGAUAAGACCACCGUGCAAUUUCACACCUAUCCAAUGCAACAGCAGCCCCAUGACUUGAGCCUACUCUCCCACCGAGAUGCUAUUUGUUGGGUUUCGUAGUAAUUUUAAAAAUUUUCCUACGCACACGCAAGAUCAUGUGAUGCAUAACAACAAGAGGGGAGAGUGCUGUCUACGUACCCACGCAGACCGACUGCGGAAGCGAUGACACAACGUAGAGGAAGUAGUCGUACGUCUUCACGAUCCAACCGAUCAAGCACCGAAACUACGGCACCUCCGAGUUCGAGCACACGUUCAGCUCGAUGACGAUCCCCGGACUCCGAUCCAGCAAAGUGUCGGGGAAGAGUUCCGUCAGCACGACGGCGUGGUGACGAUCUUGAUGUACUACAGCAGCAGGGCUUCGCCUAAACUCCGCUACAAUAUUAUCGAGGACUAUGGUGGCUGGAGGCGCCGCACACGGCUAAGGAAUAGAUCACGUGGAUCAACUUGUAUGUUUCUGGGGUGCCUCUGCCUCAGUAUAUAAAGGACUAGAGGGGGGGAGGCUGGCCGGCCAAGCUUGGCGCGCCAGGAGAGUCCUACUCCCUCNNNNNNNNNNNNNNNNNNNNNNNNNNNNNNNNNNNNNNNNNNNNNNNNNNNNNNNNNNNNNNNNNNNNNNNNNNNNNNNNNNNNNNNNNNNNNNNNNNNNNNNNNNNNNNNNNNNNNNNNNNNNNNNNNNNNNNNNNNNNNNNNNNNNNNNNNNNNNNNNNNNNNNNNNNNNNNNNNNNNNNNNNNNNNNNNNNNNNNNNNNCCUAGUUGGAAUAGGAUUCGCGGAGGGGGAAAAGAGAGAGAGGGGGCCGACCACCUCUCCUAGUCCUAAUAGGACUAGGGGAAGGGGGAGGCGUGCAGCCCAUGUAGGGCUGCCUCUUCUCCUUUCCACUAAGGCCCAUCAUGGCCCAUUUAGCUCCCGGGGGGUCCGGUAACCUUCCCGGUACUCCGGUAAAAUCCCGAUUUCACCCGGAACACUUCCGAUAUCCAAACAUAUGCUUCCAAUAUAUCAAUCUUUACGUCUCGACCAUUUCGAGACUCCUCGUCAUGUCCGUGAUCACAUCCGGGACUCCGAACAACCUUCGGUACAUCAAAAUGCAUAAACUCAUAAUAUAACUGUCAUCGUAACCUUAAGCGUGCGGACCCUACGGGUUUGAGAACAAUGUAGACAUGACCGAGACAUGUCUCCGGUCAAUAACCAAUAGUGGGACCUGGAUGCCCAUAUUGGCUCCUACAUAUUCUACGAAGGUCUUUAUCGGUCAGACCGCAUAACAACAUACGUUGUUCCCUUUGUCAUCGGUAUGUUACUUGCCCGAGAUUCGAUCGUCGGUAUCCAAUACCUAGUUCAAUCUCGUUACCGGCAAGUCUCUUUACUCGUUCUGUAAUACAUCAUCCCGCAACUAACUCAUUAGUUGCAAUGCUUGCAAGGCUUAUGUGAUGUGCAUUACCGAGAGGGCCCAGAGAUACCUCUCUGACAAUCGGAGUGACAAAACCUAAUCUCGAAAUACGCCAACCCAACAUGUACCUUUGGAGACACCUGUAGUACUCCUUUAUAAUCACCCUGUUACGUUGUGACGUUUGGUAGUACCCAAAGUGUUCCUCUGGUAAACGGGAGUUGCAUAAUCUCAUAGUUAUAGGAACAUGUAUAAGUCAUGAAGAAAGCAAUAGCAACAUACUAAACGGUCGGGUGCUAAGCUAAUGGAAUGGGUCAUGUCAAUCAGAUCAUUCUCUUAAUGAUGUGAUCCCGUUAAUCAAAUAACAACUCAUUGUUCAUGGUUAGGAAACAUAACCAUCUUUGAUUAACGAGCUAGUCAAGUAGAGGCAUACUAGUGACACUUUGUUUGUCUAUGUAUUCACACAUGUAUUAUGUUUCCGGUUAAUACAAUUCUAGCAUGAAUAAUAAACAUUUAUCAUGAUUAUAAGGAAAUAAAUAAUAACUUUAUUAUUGCCUCUAGGGCAUAUUUCCUUCAGUCUCCCACUUGCACUAGAGUCAGUAAUCUAGAUUACACCGUAAUGAUUCUAACACCCAUGAAGCCUUGGUGCUGAUCAUGUUUUGCUCGUGGUAGAGGCUUAGUCAACGGGUCUGCAACAUUCAGAUCCAUAUGUAUCUUGCAAAUCUCUAUGUCUCCCACCUGGACUAGAUCCCGGAUGGAAUUGAAGCGUCUCUUGAUGUGCUUGGUUCUCUUGUGAAAUCUGGAUUCCUUUGCCAAGGCAAUUGCACCAGUAUUGUCAUAAAAGAUUUUCAUUGGACCCGAUGCACUAGGUAUGACACCUAGAUCGGAUAUAAACUCCUUCAUCCAGACUCCUUCGUUCGCUGCUUCUGAAGCAGCUAUGUACUCCGCUUCACAUGUAGAUCCCGCUACGACGCUUUGUUUAGAACCGCACCAACUGACAGCUCCACCGUUUAAUGUAAACACGUAUCCGGUUUGCGAUUUAGAAUUGUCCGAAUCAGUGUCAAAGCUUGUAUCAACGUAACCAUUUACGAUGAGCUCUUUGUCACCUUCAUAUACGAGAAACAUAUCCUUAGUCCUUUUCAGGUAUUUCAGGAUGUUCUUGACCGCUGUCCAGUGAUCCACUCCUGGAUUACUUUGGUACUUCCCUGCUAGACUUAUAGCAAGGCACACAUCAGGUCUGAUACACAGCAUUGCAUACAUGAUAGAUCCUAUCGCUGAUGCAUAGGGAACAUCUUUCAUAUUCUCUCUAUCUUCUGCAGUGGUCGGGCAUUGAGUCUUACUCAAUUUCACACCUUGUAACACAGGCAAGAAUCCUUUCUUUGCUUGAUCCAUUUUGAACUUCUUCAAAAUCUUGUCAAGGUAUGUGCCUUGUGAAAGUCCAAUUAAGCGUUUUGAUCUAUCUCUAUAGAUCUUUAUGCCUAAUAUGUAAGCAGCUUCACCGAGGUCUUUCAUUAAAAAACUCUUAUUCAAGUAUCCCUUUAUGCUAUCCAGAAAUUCUAUAUCAUUUCCAAUCAGUAAUAUGUCAUCCACAUAUAAUAUCAGAAAUGCUACAGAGCUCCCACUCACUUUCUUGUAAAUACAGGCUUCACCGAAAGUCUGUAUAAAACCAAAUGCUUUGAUCACACUAUCAAAGCAUUUAUUCCAACUCCGAGAGGCUUGCACCAGUCCAUAAAUGGAUCGCUGGAGCUUGCACACUUUGUUAGCUCCCUUUGGAUCGACAAAACCUUCUGGUUGCAUCAUAUACAACUCUUCUUCCAGAAAUCCAUUCAGGAAUGCAGUUUUGACAUCCAUUUGCCAAAUUUCAUAAUCAUAAAAUGCGGCAAUUGCUAACAUGAUUCAGACAGACUUAAGCAUCGCUAUGGGUGAGAAGGUCUCAUCGUAGUCAACCCCUUGAACUUGCCGAAAACCUUUUGCGACAAGUCGAGCUUUGUAGAUAGUAAUAUUACCGUCAGCGUCAGUCUUCUUCUUGAAGAUCCAUUUAUUCUCAAUUGCUUGCCGAUCAUCGGGCAAGUCAACCAAAGUCCAUACUUUGUUCUCAUACAUGGAUCCCAUCUCAGAUUUCAUGGCUUCAAGCCAUUUUGCGGAAUCUGGGCUCACCAUCGCUUCUUCAUAGUUCGUAGGUUCAUCAUGAUCUAGUAGCAUGAUUUCCAGAACAGGAUUACCGUACCAAUCUGGCGCGGAUCUCACUCUGGUUGAUCUACGAGGUUCAGUAGUAUCUUGAUCUGAAGUUUCAUGAUCAUUAUCAUUAGCUUCCUCACUAACUGGUGUAGGUGUCACUGAAACAGUUUUCUGUGAUGUAUUACUUUCCAGUAAUGGAGCAGGUACAGUUACCUCGUCAAGUUCUACUUUCCUCCCACUCACUUCUUUAGAGAGAAACUCCUUCUCUAGAAAGUUUCCGAAUUUAGCAACAAAAGUCUUGCCUUCGGAUUUGUGAUAGAAGGUGUAUCCAAUAGUUUCCUUUGGAUUUCCUAUGAAGACACAUUUCUCCGAUUUGGGUUCGAGCUUAUCAGGUUGAAGCUUUUUCACAUAAGCAUCGCAGCCCCAAACUUUCAGAAACGACAACUUUGGUUUCUUGCCAAACCACAGUUCAUAAGGCGUCAUCUCAACGGAUUUUGAUGGUGCCCUAUUUAACGUGAAUGCGGCCGUCUCUAGAGCGUAUCCCCAAACGAUAGCGGUAAAUCAGUAAGAGACAUCAUAGAUCGCACCAUAUCUAGUAAAGUACGAUUACGAUGUUCGGACACACCAUUACGCUGUGGUGUUCCGGGUGGCGUGAGUUGUGAAACUAUUCCACAAUUUUUCAAAUGUACACCAAACUCGUAACUCAAAUAUUCUCCUCCACGAUCAGAUCGUAGAAACUUUAUUUUCUUGUUACGAUGAUUUUCAACUUCACUAUGAAAUUCCUUGAACUUUUCAAAUGUUUCAGACUUAUGUUUCAUUAAGUAGAUAUACCCAUAUCUGCUUAAAUCAUCUGUGAAGGUGAGAAAAUAACGAUAUCCGCCACGAGCCUCAAUAUUCAUCGGACCACAUACAUCUGUGUGUAUGAUUUCCAACAAAUCUGUUGCUCUCUCCAUAGUACCGGAGAACGGUGUUUUGGUCAUCUUGCCCAUGAGGCACGGUUCGCAAGUUCCAAGUGAUUCAUAAUCAAGUGGUUCCAAAAGUCCAUCAGAAUGGAGUUUCUUCAUGCGCUUUACACCGAUAUGACCUAAACGGUAGUGCCACAAAUAAGUUGCACUCUCAUUAUCAACUCUGCAUCUUUUGGUUUCAACAUUAUGAAUAUGUGUGUUACUACUAUUGAGAUUCAACAAGAAUAGACCACUCUUCAAGGGUGCAUGACCAUAAAAGAUAUUACUCAUAUAAAUAUAACAACCAUUAUUCUCUGAUUUAAAUGAAUAACCAUCUCGCAUCAAACAAGAUCCAGAUAUAAUGUUCAUGCUUAACACUGGCACCAAAUAACAAUUAUUUAGGUCUAAUACUAACCCCGAAGGUAGAUGUAGAGGUAGCGUGCCGACUGCGAUCACAUCGACUUUGGAACCGUUUCCCACGCGCAUCGUCACCUCGUCCUUAACCAAUCUUCGCUUGAUCCGUAGUCCCUGUUUCGAGUUGCAAAUAUUAGCAACAGAACCAGUAUCAAAUACCCAGGUGCUACUGCGAGCAUUAGUAAGGUACACAUCAAUAACAUGUAUAUCACAUAUACCUUUGUUCACCUUUCCAUCCUUCUUAUCCGCCAAAUACUUGGGGCAGUUCCGCUUCCAGUGACCAGUCUGCUUGCAAUAGAAGCACUCAGUUUCAGGCUUAGGUCCAGGUUUGGGUUUCUUCUCUUGAGUGGCAACUUGCUUGCCGUUCUUUUUUAAAGUUCCCCUUCUUCUUCCCUUUGCCCUUUUUCUUGAAACUAGUGGUCUUGUUGACCAUCAACACUUGAUGCUCCUUCUUGAUUUCUACCUCCGCAGCUUUCAGCAUUGUGAAGAGCUCGGGAAUAGUCUUAUUCAUCCCUUGCAUAUUAUAGUUCAUCACGAAGCUCUUGUAGCUUGGUGGCAGUGAUUGAAGAAUUCUGUCAAUGACACAAUCAUCUGGAAGAUUAACUCCCAAUUGAAUCAAGUGAUUAUUAUACCCAGACAUUUUGAGUAUAUGCUCACUAACAGAACUGUUCUCCUCCAUCUUGCAGCUAUAGAACUUAUUGGAGACUUCAUAUCUCUCAAUCCGGGCAUUUGCUUGAAAUAUUAACUUCAACUCCUGGAACAUCUCAUAUGCUCCAUGACGUUCAAAACGUCGUUGAUGUCCCGAUUCUAAGCCGUAAAGCAUGGCACACUGAAUUUAUCGAGUAGUCAUCAGCUUUGCUCUGCCAGACAUUCAUAACAUCCGGCGUUGCUCCUGCAGCAGGCCUGGCACCCAGCGGUGCUUCCAGGACGUAAUUCUUCUGUGCAGCAAUGAGGAUAAUCCUCAAGUUACGGACCCAGUCCGUGUAAUUGCUACCAUCAUCUUUCAACUUUGCUUUCUCAAGGAACGCAUUAAAAUUCAAUGGAACAACAACACGAGCCAUCUAUCUACAAUCAAACAUAAACAAGCAAGAUACCAAUCAGGUACUAAGUUUCAUGAUAAAUUUAAGUUCAGUUAAUCAAAUUAAUUAAAGAACUCCCACUUAGAUAGACAUCCCUCUAAUCCUCUAAGUGAUUACGUGAUCCAAAUCAACCAAACCAUAACCGAUCAUCACGUGAGAUGGAGUAGUUUUCAAUGGUGAACAUCGUUAUGUUGAUCAUAUCUACCAUAUGAUUCACGCUCGACCUUUCGGUCUCCGUGUUCCGAGGCCAUAUCUGUAUAUGCUUGGCUCGUCAAGUAUAACCUGAGUAUUCUGCGUGCGCAACUGUUUUGCACCCGUUGUAUUUGAACGUAGAACCUAUCACACCCGAUCAUCACGUGGUGUCUCAGCACGAAGAACUUUCGCAACGGUGCAUACUCAGGGAGAACACUUCUUGAUAAUUUAGUGAGAGAUCAUCUUAUAAUGCUACCGUCAAUCAAAGCAAGAUAAGAUGCAUAAAAGGAUAAACAUCACAUGCAAUCAAUAUAAGUGAUAUGAUAUGGCCAUCAUCAUCUUGUGCUUGUGAUCUCCAUCCCCGAAGCACCGUCGUGAUCACCAUCGUCACCGGCGUGACACCUUGAUCUCCAUCGUAGCAUCGUUGUCGUCUUGCCAAGCUUAUGCUUCCAUGACUAUCACUAUCGCUUAGUAAUAAAGUAAAGCAUUACAUCGCGAUUGCAUUGCAUACAAUAAAGCGACAACCAUAAGGCUCCUGCUAGUUGCCGAUAACUCGGUUACAAAACAUGAUCAUCUCAUACAAUAAAAUUCAACAUCAUGUCUUGACCAUAUCACAUCACAACAUGCCCUACAAAAACAAGUUAGACGUCCUCUACUUUGUUGUUGCAAGUUUUACGUGGCUGCUACGGGCUUAAGCAAGAACCAAUCUCACCUACGCAUCAAAACCACAAUGAUAGUUUGUCAAAUAGGCUCUGUUUUAACCUUCGCAAGGACCAGGCGUAGCCAUACUUGGUUCAACUAAAAUUGGAGAGACAGUCGCCCGCAAGCCACCUAUGUGCAAAGCACGUCGGGGGAACCGGUCUCACGUAAGCGUACGCGUAAUAUUGGUCCGGGUCGUCUCGUCCAACAAUGCCACCGAACCAAAGUAUGACAUGCUGGUAGGCAGUAUGACUUAUAUCGCCCACAACUCACUUGUGUUCUACUCGUGCAUAUAACAUCAACAUAAAUAACCUAGGCUCUGAUACCACUGUUGGGUUUCGUAGUAAUUUCAAAAAAUUUCCUAUGCACACGCAAGAUCAUGUGAUGCAUAGCAACGAGAGGGGAGAGUGCUGUCUACGUACCCACGCAGACUGACUGCGGAAGCGAUGACACAACAUAGAGGAAGUAGUCGUACGUCUUCACGAUCCAACCGAUCAAGCACCGAAACUACGGCACCUCCGAGUUCGAGCACACGUUCAGCUCGAUGACGAUCCCCGGACUCCGAUCCAGCAAAGUGUCGGGGAAGAGUUCCGUCAGCACGACGGCGUGGUGACGAUCUUGAUGUACUACAGCAGCAGGGCUUCGCCUAAACUCCGCUACAGUAUUAUCGAGGACUAUGGUGGCUGGAGGCGCCGCACACGGCUAAGGAAUAUAUCACGUGGAUCAACUUGUGUGUUUCUGCGGUGCCUCUGCCUCAGUAUAUAAAGGACUAGAGGGGGGAGGCUGGCCGGCCAAGCUUGGCGCGCCAGGAGAGUGCUACUCCCUCUGGGAGUAGGAUUCCCCCCCCCCCAAUCCUAGUUGGAAUAGGAUUCGCGGAGGGGGAAAAGAGAGAGAGGGGGCCGGCCACCUCUCCUAGUCCUAAUAGGACUAGGGGAAGGGGGAGGCGCGCAGCCCAUGUAGGGCUGCCUCUUCUCCUUUCCACUAAGGCCCAUCAUGGCCCAUUUAGCUCCCGGGGGGUUCCGGUAACCUUCCCGGUACUCCGGUAAAAUCCCGAUUUCACCCGGAACACUUCCGAUAUCCAAACAUAGGCUUCCAAUAUAUCAAUAUUUAUGUCUCGACCAUUUCGAGACUCCUCGUCAUGUCCGUGAUCACAUCCGGGACUUCGAACAACCUUCGGUACAUCAAAAUGCAUAAACUCAUAAUAUAACUGUCAUCGUAACCUUAAGCGUGCGGACCCUACGGGUUCGAGAACAAUGUAGACAUGACCGAGACAUGUCUCCGGUCAAUAACCAAUAGCGGGACCUGGAUGCCCAUAUUGGCUCCUACAUAUUCUACGAAGAUCUUUAUCGGUCAGACCGCAUAACAACAUACGUUGUUCCCUUUGUCAUCGGUAUGUUACUUGCCCGAGAUUCGAUCGUCGGUAUCCAAUACCUAGUUCAAUCUCGUUACCGGCAAGUCUCUUUACUCGUUCUGUAAUACAUCAUCCCGCAACUAACUCAUUAGUUGCAAUGCUUGCAAGGCUUAUGUGAUGUGCAUUACCGAGAGGGCCCAGAGAUACCUCUCCGACAAUCGGAGUGACAAAACCUAAUCUCGAAAUACGCCAACCCAACAUGUACCUUUGGAGACACCUGUAGUACUCCUUUAUAAUCACCCAGUUACGUUGUGACGUUUGGUAGUACCCAAAGUGUUCCUCUGGUAAACGGGAGUUGCAUAAUCUCAUAGUUAUAGGAACAUGUAUAAGUCAUGAAGAAAGCAAUAGCAACAUACUAAACGAUCGGGUGCUAAGCUAAUGGAAUGGGUCAUGUCAAUCAGAUCAUUCUCUUAAUGAUGUGAUCCCGUUAAUCAAAUAACAACUCAUUGUUCAUGGUUAGGAAACAUAACCAUCUUUGAUUAACGAGCUAGUCAAGUAGAGGCAUACUAGUCACACUUUGUUUGUCUAUGUAUUCACACAUGUAUUAUGUUUCCGGUUAAUACAAUUCUAGCAUGAAUAAUAAACAUUUAUCAUGAUUAUAGGGAAAUAAAUAAUAACUUUAUUAUUGCCUCUAGGGCAUAUUCCUUCACUAUCUGCACCGGCCUUUCUCCUUCCUCUCUCUAUCUUCCACUUUUACCUCUCUUUCUCUUCACUUUUUCAUCUCUUUCAUACUUUCUCUCUUGAAGAAGCCGCCUCUUCUGGAGGAACCCGUUGUGCUUUGCAAGCUAUCACUUUAGCACCACGCUGGCAUCUGAGCCUAGCUGUCUCGUGAGGCAUCACCUCUGAGGCUACCCGUUGGCCUUGCCCUAAACUGAGAGAAGGAAAUCAUUAGAUUUCCACCAACAACACAAUCUGAAACCAAGCUUUACUAAACAAGUCUUUUUCUUUUCAAACUGAUACAAUAUCAACUUUACAAAAAGAGGGAAGCGCAUCACUCAGGUCUCUUAGCUCCCAAAACCUCUCGCGUCAUUCUAGCGGCUGCACAUAUCCCCUUCCUCUUCUNNNNNNNNNNNNNNNNNNNNNNNNNNNNNNNNNNNNNNNNNNNNNNNNNNNNNNNNNNNNNNNNNNNNNNNNNNNNNNNNNNNNNNNNNNNNNNNNNNNNNNNNNNNNNNNNNNNNNNNNNNNNNNNNNNNNNNNNNNNNNNNNNNNNNNNNNNNNNNNNNNNNNNUUCUAUCCUAUUUAAAACAUACAUAAGGUUAUGCGCUUCACUCAUUCUUGGUGAAACUUUAUGUACGUUUCACCUUCCUUUUCUUGUUUUAAUUUUUUCCAGUCUCUGAUCUUCCACCGGUUUUCUCUCCUACUUAAAAAAGGCAUAAGAUCCAGUGGUUUGCUUGUCCUUCAUCCAACCUUAUGUACGUUUUCCCUUCCUCUUCUCAUUUUGUUUUUUUCAUCUCUGAUUUUUCCACCAAUUUUUCUCCUAUUUUAAAAAGACAUAAGGUUCUGAAGUUCACUCGUCCGUCGUCCAACCUUAUGUACGUUCUUUCCUACUCUUCCUAUUUUUUCUUUUCAUCUCUGAUUUUCCAACCGUUUUUCUCUCCUAUAUCUAAAAAAUAUAUAAGGUUCUUCUAGGCUUUGAUAAAAUGUUGUCCAACUUUAUGUACGUUCUCCUUCCUCUUCUUGUUUUGAUUUAUUUUUCUUUCAGUCUCUUAUUUUUCACCUGUUUUUCUCUGAAACCGGUUCAAUAUCCCAAAUAAAAUUAUGUUUCUUUGGUAAGCCUGUAAGUACUUUAAAAAAUUAAAAAUUGCCUGAACAAACUUUACAUUUUUACGAACAUUGUUUUGAAUGUGUGGUCGUUUUUAAAAAUGUCAUUAGCCUUUCUGAAAAUGGAACGAACAUUUUCUUGUAUUUCAUGAACAUUAUUUAAAGUUUGCACGGACAAUUUUACAUUUCCUGAACAUUUUCUUAGAUUUCAUGAACAAUGUUUUAAAUUCGUGAAUAUUUUUUUUGAAUUGUACAAACAUUUUAAAUGUUAUGAACAUUUUUGCAAAUGUAUGACCAUUUUCUUAAAUGCCAUUUUUAAUAUUAAAAUGCAUAUUGUUUUUCAUGAAAAUCCUUUUCCAAAUGUGUGAUACAUUUAAAAAAAAUAUGGACGUUUAAAAAAAUAGACGCACACUUUUUUUAAGCUGCGUGAAAAUGCACAAGGGAAAAAAUGUGAGAAAAAAAAUACACGCUCGGCCGGCGAUAGACAUAUCUCUCCUGCCACGGGCUAAGUCUGGCCCAUCUACGGGAUGCUGUGGAUGAGGUAUAUAUAAGGAUCUCUUAUAUAUACUCGUAUGAAUUCAGCGACUUAUGUCAAUGUAGUGUGGGACCCUAUUUACUUUGUGACAAAUUGUCGCUCAAAUGGGACAUGGAGUAUGUGAGCUCGAGCUCACUCGAGCUCGGAUGAUCAGUAAAUUUCAAAAAGAGUAAAAAUUCUGACCAUGUAUGGCAAGAAACAUUGAUGCACUUUUACACAUGCAUGCAGAAAUUCUCAGUGGAAUCACAAUCAUGAAGGAGUGGGCAAAAUCAAUGCUCCAAAAAGUGUUUUUUGAAGCAUUUUAGGGCAUCGAUUUUUUCACACCUCAACAAAUGUGAUUUCAUUGCGAAAUUUUGCACGCGUGUGAAAAAGACAUCAAUAUUUCUUGCCAAAAGUAUCAGGAUUUUUUGUGAAAUUUUUCGGAAUUGUCAGUUCAUCCCGAGCUCUAGUGAGCUUGUGCUCAAAUUUGAUCUUUGGUGGGUCAGCACAAAUGCAACCCAUGCUUAUUUUUGCUGGUUUGGGUCUGGUUUUGCCGGUUGUAGGAAGGUUCUUGUUCAAUUUUUCAUUUUUGUUUCUUUUCUAUUGUUUUAUCUACCAGUUUUUUUUCGAACUUCUUUCCUGUCCAUUUUUUCUUCAAAAAUUUGAUUAACAUUCAUGUUGUUUCUAAAAAGGAAAAAGCUUACCUUCAGCCGACCGAUCUCGCGCGCACAUCCGCCGGCUUCGUGUCUGUUGGAUCGCCUGUUGAUCAGACAGACGAGAACAGCCCCGCUUUUCGCCUCACACGCGUUCGUUUUCUGGAACAUAGCUAUUGUUUCAGGAUAAGCAUUCGUGCAACUGGCCUCUGUUGACUCGUGUCUCUAGGAGGGCGACACUUUUGGAUUUGGGAGGGCGGCGGGGGUGGCGGUGUUCGGCGACCGGGGCAUAUCCAGCGUGGUGGCGACGAAGACGGGUUCGGCGGUGGCUGACGUUGACUCCAGCAGGUACGGAUCGGAGACCCCCCUCGCAUUCCCCCCGCAUUUCUGGGCGACCACCGUCCUGGCACCACCAACACUAGACACAGCCACAUCACAACGCCUUAUGUCCACGCACACUCCAAGUUUCUGCAACAACAACGUUGUUGCGGAACGGUGACAUCGAAGACUGUGUGACGUGGCCGGAGAUGUUGUUGCAAUUCUUGUAGCAAGGGUCUUGUUACAGAAAAUUAGGCGCGGCGUGAGAUGUCUUUUCAAUUUUUACAACAAGGGUCUUGUUGCGGAAAAUUAGAGAAUAAGAGUUUUUGCAACAUGGGACUUGUUGCAAAAAAAUAGAGAAAAGGAGUUUUCGCAACAAAGCUUUUGUUGCAGAAUUAGAGAUGAGAAAGUUUCGCAACAAAGCUCUUGUUGUGGGAAAUUAGAGAAGAGGAGGUUUCGCAACUGGAGUAGCUCCUACAUGCCGGCGGCAGGCUGAUUUUGCGAUGGGUUGGCGGCGGCACCACGCGGGGGCGCAACUCAGUCGGGAUCGGGUCAAGACUGUCUUAUUUCUGCAACAGAGUGUUUGUUACGGGAAAUAACAAGUGGGCAUACGGGGCGCGGAUACCGGAUCGGACGGCUAUCAAUUCGGGUAUCCAACGGUCGUCGAGACGAUGGAUAAAAUCUAAACAUCAGCCGGUAGACGCGUAGCAGCAUCCUUCUAAAAAAGGUUCAAAUAUUAAAAAAAUGUCUACAUUAUUUUAUUAAGAAAUUCAGAAUUUUCUCCAUGUUUUUUUAGAACUAGAAUUUUCUCCAUGUGGGCAUGACUUUCGCAUGUGGCCUGAACCGUGCCACGGGCCGGUGGGCUGGCCCGAUACUUCCACAAAAUCCCGGGCCCACUGUCACUCCACCACCAUGGAGGCUCCCACCCCGGUGACGGCGACCUCCUCUCCUCUCCUUGGAGGCUCGGCGGCGGCGACGGCGGCCAUCGCCCUCGGGCAACUCACUGGUUUUAGUCCUGAUUUGACCACCCGCCAUUCCUUCGUAGCUAACUCACCACCUGCAUCCCUUGCCUUGCUUUGUAGGCCGCUGCCCGGCUCGCAAGGACGACCUAGCCCCCUUCUGAGUUCUGAGCUCCCCUCCUAUCGCUGAUGCAUACGGGGAGGUUACUUCGAAAUCUGCGGAGGAGGUUCAAGCGUCUUCUCCGACUCCGGCCGACCACCGGCCCCUUCUGUUGGUCCCGGUGAGCCUGCCUGCUUAUCUUGUUACAUGUACCAGUAUGUAUUAGCUUCAGAAGAGGUGUCAGCCGUGUGUGCUUUCUGCCGACGCCGUGCUGAUAAUAAUCGUGAAACCACCACGUUCACAUGGCAUUGCUCCAUAGGAUACCCACAAGGUGCUCCAUCCCCAUGUGGCCAUCAGUGUCACAUCCCAUCUCCUCCUGUCAAUGCAUGACUAGUUGGAAACUUGCAAGGGAAAAGUUUCCCCAUUUCCCCAGAUCCGUUUGAAAAUUGAGGCGGGGCACCUAGAAUUCUUGAAUGCGUCCAAAGAAAAUGACAGCGCCCGGACCGUAAUGUCAUAUCUUUCCAUCUCUUGCUAAAUGGGAUGCCACCUAGUUGCUCAACUCACACCACAUCCUCUCAAUUCGGCAGCUAGCCACGCUUGUCCAGCUCGCAGAUAAUCUCGAGAGAGAGAGGGAGCUAUGGUGGCUGUGGAUGCCUCCACAGGGGUGAUGAACGCCCUCCUGUGCAAGCUCUCCAAGCUGCUGGAGGACGAGUACUCCAGGCUCAAAGGCGUGCGCCGUCAGAUAACUUUCCUGAGGGACGAGCUGAGCAGCAUGAACGCCGUGCUGGAGACGCUCGCCGACGCGGAGCAGCUCGACCCUCUCAAGAGGGAAUGGCGGGACAAGGUGCGCGAGCUCUCCUACGACAUAGAGGAUUGCAUCGACGACUUCGUGGACCGCGGCGAGGAGCUGCGGACAGGCCUCAAGGGGUUCUUCAGCAAGCUGAGGAAGCUCAAGGCCCGCCGCGAGAUCGCCGGCGAGAUAGAGCAGCUCAAGAUCCGCACCAUCGAGGCGAGCGAGAGGCGCAGGAGGUAUGACUUUCUUGAGCCGGCCCAGAGUUCUGGCGCUUCUUCUGCGUCGACCCUCGGCUGCCGGCGCUGUACGAGGAUGCGGCUAGGCUUGUGGGCAUCGAUGGCCCCAAGGAGCAUAUCCUUGGCUGGUUCUGCAAGGAGAAGGAGCAUGAUGACCUCAGGGUGUUGCCGAUUGUGGGUUCCGGAGGCCUUGGCAAGACCACUCUUGCAAACCAAGUGUACUGUCAGUUAAAAGGCCAAUUUCAGUGCACAGCUUUUGUGUCGGUGUCUCGGAAUCCAAACAUGCAGAAGAUUUUACGGCAAAUGCUCACGGAGUUUGGGAUCAGCGGUGGUGCACUGGAUGAGGAACGGCAACUCAUCGACAGGAUAAGAGACCACCUCAAAGAUAAAAGGUAAACCCGGUAACCCACUCAUAUCAUGAUUUCUUAUUAACAUUUUUUUUGAGUUGGUCUUUUUAACAUUUUGGUAAUGCACAUAGUAAUGAAUAUUCGUACACUUCAAGAAAUAAAGAUGGUCAUAUGUCUUCAAUUCUGUGCAAAAUAAGUUUGAAGCAUAUUUUUAGGGUUGAAUGAAAAGUUCAAAGCAAUAAUAGGCAACUCUCUGUUAAAACAUGUAACAGGUACUUGGUUGUAAUUGAUGAUGUAUGGGACGUCGAAGCAUGGAAAGCUAUCAGGCUUGCUCUGUUCAACAAAUAAGUGCGGUAGCAGAAUCAUCACCACAACGCGUAACGUUGCCAUCGCAUCAUAUUGCUCAGGCGACAGCAGUUAUGUUUAUCAAAUGGAGUCCCUUAAUUCUUCCGACUCCAGACGGCUAUUUUUUAAAAGAUCAUUUGGUUCAGAAGAACUGUGCUACCCUCACCUGGAAGAAGUUUCUAGCCAGAUAUUGGCAAAAUGUGGUGGACUUUCAUUGGCGAUUAUUACCUUGUCCAGCUUGUUAGCUGACAAGCAUGCAAACGAUGAAUGGAACAGGGUGGAGUGAAUAGCAAAAAACUACCACAUUACGGGCUAUCGUUCCGAAAAACUACCGCUUUUUUAAAUUUUUCAAAAAACUACCACAAAAGUUGCUGGCUGUUCCAAAAAACCCAAGUGGCCGAACGGUUAAGUUUUAACUGGGGUUAUGACAUGUGGGGCCCGCCCGUCAGGGUUUUGUCGGCCACAGUGCUCACGGCACGCGGGUGACGGCCGUUAGGGCGCACGGGCCGCCCCGACCAGGUCAAAACGGCCGCCCCCUCACUCUGUCUCCCUCGCGCUCACUCACUCUCACUCUCCCCCCUCACUCUCACUCCCCCCUCGCUCUGUUUCCCCUGGCCGAGCUCUCCAUCGUCGCCGACCACCUCAGUUCCUCGUCGCCGGCCAGGAUGCCUUCUUGGAAUGAUGGGGAUGAGAGCUCCGACGACAGCAUGGGGGGCAACCUGAUGGACAUGGAGUACUUUGUAAGCCUCAUCCUCCUCCUCUCUGUCAUUAUCUAGGGUUAGGAUUAGGGUUGAAUCGAUUUGGGAAUGAGGGUUGAUGAGCUGUAUAUUUGUAUGGAUGGAUUCGUUUGGUUUGGUUAUCUAUUAGUUUUGAUCUAGGGUAUGGAUGGAUUCGUUUGGUUUGGUUAUCUAUUAGUUUUGAUCUAGGGUAUGGAUGGCACUGUGAUGUCUGAUCUGACCUUGAGCAAGGCAAAGCUUGACUCAAGUUGAACUAGUUGAUGCAUUGGUUCUGAUCUACCUUUUACUGCAUGUAGGACACACCUGACACCAUCCCUGAGCCACUCUGGUGUGGUGCUCCCAUGGAGGAAGUUGCCAAGUGUACUCUGCACGAUAUGAAGCCUAGGAAGUGUGUUGCUUUUGAAGGUGCUAACACUGGGAGGAGGUUCUAUGGAUGCCCUGUUCAGGUGAGUAAUUGAGUAUGCUGGGUGGAUUCAGUUAUGCCUAGUGGAUUCAGUUAUGCCCAGUGGUUACUGAAUUUGUACAUUAACUCUGUUUGAACUGAAUUUAGUACUGAAUUUAUGGUUACAUGUCCUCCUUGUGUACCAAUCCUCUUUUUGAAUUGAAGUUAGAACUGAAUUUAUGCAUUUUUUGAAGUAUGUGUUCUCUGAUCAAACUAUAGGGAGGUGUGAAUUGUGGUGUAGUUCAGUGAGUUGAUCCUGCCUGGCCUUAUGUACUUAAGAACUGCCUCAUCAAGUUGUGGGAAAUGUUCCAUGAGCAAAACCUUGGAAGGAUUCAAGACAAGCAUGCAUAUGAGGAUGAGGUUGCCAAGUUGAAGAAGGACUAUGAUCUGCUCUGCACUGAGUAUCAUAAAAUGGUUGAUGAUGUUAGCAAGAUGUUUGACUGGCAGGAUGGUGUUGGCAAGAUUGACUACCAAAAAGCAAUGGAUGCUGAGAAAUUUGAGAAGCAGAAGGAAGAGCUUGAGCUGGAGAUGAAGAUGGAGAAGCUAAGGCUAGCAAAAGAACAGAGAUGUAUCCUUCAGGCCCAGGCAGACAUAAUUCACAACACCAGGAAGGCAAUGAAAGAGAUAAAGGUGGACAGGGAUCUUCUUGCACAAGAGAAGACAGAGCUUGAGAAAGUAGUUGCUGAUCUGCUGAAUGCUGGCCAUGGGAGCAAGGAAAAGCUUGAGAAAAUCAAGGCCAUACUGGAGGCUUGAAGAUUUGGACAAUGGUGGUUAAGUAAGUAAGGUGGCCUACACAUAUAACAGGCCUUGCAAGAUGAUGGUAGGAGUAUAUUUUGUGCAGUCCUAUAUGAACUGUUUAAGUUAUGGUAACUAGAGUGGCGGAGAACCUUUGCUAAGUCUGGCUUAUGUUAUUGUACUGUUAAGAACCUAUCUAUCUUAAGUAAUGCAGUGAACUGUUUUAUUUCUUUAGGUUGUUUUUCCUGAAAGUAGCAAUGCUGAACUAGUAUAUUUUUGGGCCUAAAACCAUUAUGUACACAUUGUGGGCUUAGACUGGGCUGUUUUAUUACUACACCUACCUACCACCAACCAUUAGUAGUCUAUAAAGCCCACCCCUUGAGUGAAACCGCAGUCAAUCCCCCCAUCCCCACCCUUCUCAACCCCCAGCCGCCAAAGAAACCCUAGAAUCCAAGGGAGAGAUGGAUCCUGGAGAGGUCAUAGAUGAAGAAGAAGAGGUGCCCAGGCAAGCCAGGCACAAAGAUGCAAGGAGGAGGGCGAGAAGGCAACUUGCUGAGAUGAUCCUUGCAGCACGCAACCGCAAGGACAUAGAGCAGUUCCUGGAGGCAUUCCCCCUGGUUCCAACCCUAGUGAUGAUGAUAUCAUCUACUGGGCAAGGAGGAGGGCAAAUUUGCAUCCCUUUCAGGUCACUAGGUAGAGGUGGACUAGGAUUCUGUACCCAUGAUGCUGCUGUUAUGUUUCUGUGUUCCUAGAUCUGUCUUUCUAUCUAUGUGAUGUUUGAAGUUGGUGUAAGAACAAUUUUGAAUGAGCUAUGUAUGUGAUGAAUCAAGUUGUCUAUGAUGCAAUGCAAUGUAUGAAGCUGGUGAAAGAAUAAUGUUGAAUGAUCUAUCUAUGUGAUGAAUCAAUCUAUCUAUGAUGCAAUUUAUGAGUGAAUCUUUUAUCUAUAUUUGUAUGUAUGAAUGAAUUGAACUGGUGAUCUUGAUGUUUUAAGUUAGAUAUGUUAUGGUUUGGUCAGAUGGCCAUAUCUUGUUGUUUUAGGUUUGAUCUCUUAUGAUUUGGUGCCUAGAUGGGCAAAUCUUGAUGUUUUAGCUUUGAUAUGUUAGGUUUUGGUCCUAGAUAGCCACUUUGGGGUUGGUCGACAAGUAGCCACCCAAAGUGGCCAAAUUUGGGUGGCUUUAGGGUUGGUCGACAAGUUCCACCCCAAAGUGGCCAAAUGUGGCCACUUUGGGGUUGGUCGACAACUAGUCACUGUUGGGAUUGGUUGACAAGUUGCCCCCCCCCCCCAAAGUGACCAAAUUGACCUAAUCAUAUCAAUCAAUUAUCAACAGAAUAAAUCACUUGAUCUACAUAACAAUGCUCAGCAUAAGAAAUAAUUUCAUAUGAAACAAUUCAUAACCUAGGACAUAUCAAAUGAAAAUAGAGCUUGACAGCAGAUAACUUAAUUGUUCCAAGCAGUUCAAACACAGACCAUAUAACUUAAUUGUUCCAAGAAGUUCAUACAUAGACCACAUAACUUAAUUGUUCAAAUGAAAACGGAGUUCACUGCAAAUAACACAGAUAGCAAGCAUGCCUAACAAGCAGAGUUCAAGGCAUAAAGCAUAAUUGAGUGCAACACAUUCAAUGGUUGUCACUGGCUGUGAAAUACAAAGCAAGUUUGCUUGGGGCCUUCCUCUUCCUAUUAGAACCAACAUCAGCUUGACCUGAUGUUGAUGCUGCCCUUGGAGCAUUGAAACCUCUUGCACUUGACCUGGUGUUCUUUGCUGGAGAUGAUGCACUUGACCUAGUGUUGUUGGCUGGUGCUGAAGCAGGUGGUGGGUUCUUUCUCUUUCUUGAUCCACCUGUUGAAACUGCAGUAGAUGUGGCUGCCCUUGUUGUAGCAGAUGUGGUUGCCCUUGUUGAAGCUGUUGCUGGUUUCCUGCCCCUAAGUGGUCCUAAAACUGGAGAAGGACCUGCAGCUGGAGCUGGACCUGAAGCUGGAGCUGGACCUGAUGAUGUGGCCCUAGCUGGAGGUGGCCUGCUUGGUGCUGAAGUUGCUGGGUAGGAUGCCCUGUUUUCCUACAAUUAAAAAUAAGUUGUAUCUCACAAGAUGUAUGCAUUAAAAACAAGUAGCAGAUUUUCCUUGUUGAACUGGCUUAGUUACCUGGUGGUUGUUUUUCCUUGUCAUAAACUUGGCCUUAAGUCUGUCUCCACACAUUAUCCACCUGUGGCCUUGCAGACCACAGUUACUGCAUGUUAUUGUGCCCAUCCUUGAUGUAUCCUUUGGAGCUGGCACCUCAAAUUCACCCUUUCUCCUAGCUGUUUGCUUCUUGCCUUUCUUCUCCCUAAAAACUGGUGGUUCUAUGUCUGGUGUGUUGGUGUUGGGCCAGAAUUCAGGGCCAGGGACAAGGUAGAUGAUGUGCUGGUAUGCAGCCUUAUACAUUGGCUUCUUAAAGAAUGGAUGCACAUAAUCUUCUGGGUGAACUUUUAUCUUCUGCAUUGCAGAUAUUGCAUGGUGGCAAGGUGAUCCAGUCAUGUCCCACCUCCUGCAAGAGCAGCUCCCUACAUCAAGGUUCACACAAUAUGUGUUCUCUCCACUAGUUACUUGCCAGAUGUUGGGACCAUCCAUGUUUGCUUCACAGUAUUUAGCCCACUUUUUGCUCUCCUCAAGCUUCUCCAUGUAAUGUGGGGUUAUUUCCCACCUAUAACUCUCUGUUUUCUCUCUGAUGCCCUGGUACUUAACCAUUAGUUUGGUCCUCAACCCUUCAAACAUGGUCUUAAUUGGUUUUGACCUAACAUCUAGAAUCAUUUUGUUGAAAACCUCACUAAGGUUGUUCACUACCAAGUCAGUCUUGCACACAUGAUCCAUUGCAUAUCUAGCCCAACACUCCUUAGGGAUGCCAUUCAACCACAUGUAGGCUGGUUCACACGCUGCUUUCAAACCUGCCAUUCCUUCUUUGUGACCAUGUUCAGUGAAGGAAUAGCUAGCUUUGUCAACCCAUUUCUUAAGUUCUUCUGCUCUAAAGCCAGCUGACUGGAAGUUGGCAUAUAUGUGUCUUAGGCAAUAUCUUUGUGGGGAUUGAGAAAAUACUUCAUUAAUUGCUUUAAGAAGGCCCUGUUGUUUGAUUACAUAAGGUAGUAAUGAGAUAACUAUAGUAGCAUUGCUAUGUGCAUAAGAAUAAUACAGAGUCAGAGAAAAUACCUUCUGCUUGUCAGACAUGAUGGUGUAGUUCCCAAACUGAUUGCUGGUGCCAAUGCAGACUCUAAGUUGGUUUAAAAACCAGGUCCAGCUAGGCCCAUCCUCUUUGUCAACCACCCCAAAAGCAAUUGGGAACACAUUGUUGUUCCCAUCUCUCCCAGUUGCUGCCAAUAUCUACUGGCCUGUGGAUAACUUGAUGAAGCAACCAUCAAGUCCUGCAUAAACAAAGAUAGUUAGGGCAAAAUUGAAUAACUUGAUUACAUUUCUAACAUGAUUAAAUCACUGAUUUGUACCUAUGAAAGGCCUACAACCAGCAAGAAAUCCAUCAAGGGUUAUUGUACCAGCUGCUCAUGUGCAUCAGGUACCUUUGGGUCAUACCAUUUCCUCUCUUUCUUCUUCUUCAAUCUUCUCUUCCUUCCAGAAGGUAGUCUUGGAGUCUCCCCAUCUGAGUCAGAAAUCCCCACAUCACUAGGGAAGCAAUACUCAUCAGCUUCAGGUACAAAAUCUUGAAACUUUGGGAUCUCUGGCUGACUGUGAGCUCUGGAAGUUGGACCUGGAUUUGCUGCUGCUCUUCUCACAGGCUUGAGUUUCUCAGGCCUGCAUUUUUCCACAACUAUUUCCUCUCCACCGUCAGCCUCUUUCUCCUCCUGCCAAAACUCUGAAACAUCAGUGUCACCUUCAAACUGUGGUCUGUCUUCUACAACAUCUCUUUCUUCUUCAUUUCCAAUAUUUUCUUCACCUCUCUUCCAAGCCUUGUAAGACAUCUUUAUCCCUCUAUAGUCACCCCUAUCAAUCUCAAAGUCUGAGGAUGAUUUGUCAAUAUCAUCAUCCUCUUGACCAGCAGCCUGUCCAUCAUCAUCUCCACCAUUAGCUUCUGAAAUGUUGAAGUUACAACUUUGCUGUGUGUUCAAAUUAACUUCAAGAGGGUGGACCACUCCAUCUUGUGACAGACUUAACACAAAACCAGGACCCCCCACUGGACUGCCUAUUGGAAUUUGUUCUUCACAAACAUUGUGAGCCCUGUUACAAUCAACAUCUCUAUCUUCAUUUGCCUUGGAAACAAUGAUAUUGAGCACUGUGAAAUCUGAGUGGUCUAUCAUUUCUUCAACUGCAUCUUGACUGUCCAGAAGAAAUAAACCUUCCUGUCCAAUCCCUUGUUCUUUUACCCAGUACAUGUAGUCAUCUGACCCAUAGCCUUCAGUCUCAGUAAGUGCUAUCAAGUUCAGAAAUGUGAUGUCUGAAACAGAAAAUCUCCUUUCCAUAUUAUCUCUGCCCUGGAAAUGCAGCCUAACCUCCCAAAUUUCAUCAUCCAGCCUGCAUUACAUAAUAUGUUAUUUGAAAAGCCCAACUAACUAAGUGUUUUUUGCUACAAAAAUUCAGUGCACACUAACUAUAAAGUACAGUAAGGAAUCUGAAUCCAACAAAUGCUUCUCUGAAUCCACCAUGCAUUUCUACUAAAUCUAACUAAUCCUUCAGUGCUAAGUGAUACUGUUGCAUCCAAAACAUGCCACAGAGUGUUUGCUCAACUAUUAUUCAGUGCAUGUUCAUGUUCUAAGAUGAAUCACAUCAACAUCAACCUAGGGUUUGGUCAAAAAACUAACUAAAUUAUACUAUGUUGUUUGAAAUGAACAAGCAGAAAUACAAAAACUGUUGAAGGAGCUCAUAAGAGGAAAAAAACUUACUCCACCCCUCCAAAUGCAGAGGCCCAGUGCUGGGAGUUGGCCGGAUCUGCCUGCACAGCGCUAGCAAGAGACCUUGCUGCUCUGUACUCAAGCGAGAACUGGCAACCAUCAGGCGACGGCGGUGUAGCCUGUGGCGUAGGAGCAUGUAUCAGAGCUGCAGCCUGUGGUGUCCGCUGCGGCGGCGGCGGCGCCGCCGCCUGGGUUGCGAAGCUACCACUCCCCAGCCAGUUAUCAACCUCUGAGAACUCGCCGCCUACAUCCCCCCUUCCACCUUCACCCGUUGAAUGGCCGCCAUCGCCUAGUUUCGCCACCGCCGCCGCCAUCGGAGAGGGAGGCGCGCACGAGAGAGAGGGAGACAAAGAGGGGGAAGACAGAGUGAGGGGGCGGGCCGGAUCCGUUUGACCUGGUUGGGACGGCCCGUGCGCCUUAACGGCCGUCACCCACAUGUCAUAACCCCAGUUAAAACUUAACCGUUCGGCCACUUGGGUUUUUUGGAACAGCCAGCCACUUUUGUGGUAGUUUUUUGAAAAAUUAAAAAAAGCGGUAGUUUUUCGGAACGAUAGCCCGUAAUGUGGUAGUUUUUUGCUAUUCACUCGAACAGGGUGCUAACAGCUAUUGGCUCGGCACUUGCAAAUGGUCCUAAUGCUGGGAACAUGACAAAGAUAUUGUCUCUGAGCUAUUUUGAUCCUUCUCACCGUAUGAGAACAUGUUUGUUGUAUUUGAGUGUAUUCCCAGAAGAUCAUAGGAUUGAUAAACAGCGUUUGAUAGGUCGAUGGGUCGCGGAAGGAUUCAUCCACGAAGAACGAGGGCGAAGUGCUUAUGAAGUAGGCGAGGGCUAUUUCAAUGACCUCAUCAACAGAAACUUGAUCCAGCCAGUUGAUGUAGAGUAUGGCCAGCCCAAGGCGUGCCGGGUUCACGACAUCAUCCUUGAUUUCAUUACAUGCAAGGCUGCUGAAGAAAAUUUCGUCACGUUAUUCGAUUCCGUGGAGCAUGGACAUGCUUCAGAUUACAGGGUUCGUCGGCUUUGUGUCGAGAAUCGCAACAGCAAUAAGGUUACCAUACCAACAAGCCUGAUACUAUCCCAUGUCCGAUCACUUACUGUAUUUGGACACUGCAUGCAAGAAUCUUUGUCGACAUUCCCCGCCCUUCGUGUGUUGGACCUGGGAGAAUGUUGGGAGUUAGAAAACCAUCAUCUUGCAAAUAUUGGAAAGUUGCUUCAUCUCAAGUACCUGCGUCUCAGACAAUCUAGAAUUACUGAGCUCCCCGGAAAAAUUGGAGAACUGCGGUAUUUGGAAACACUGGACAUCAGAGGUACCAGGAUCCAGGAACUGCCACCAACUAUUUCCAGGCUUCAACGAUUGGCACAUCUACAUGUUAAUCACAUGAUUAGGUUUCCGGACGGCGUAAUUGGGCAGAUGCAGAGUUUAGAAGAGGUGGAGAAUUUCGGCGUCUUCUCCUAUGAACAGGGCAAGUGUCUGCGAGAGUUCAGUCAGCUAAGUAAGCUGAGGACACUGAAAGUACCAAAUGGUUGGUCACAUGACACAACCAAAAGGAGCCAUCUUGAGGUUAUCGAGGGUUACUUGGAAAUUUUAUUGUCUUCAUGCAAUCUUCAUCAUCUCUAUUUCCUCGACAGUUAUGGCGGUGCAGCCUUCCAGCUUACCGCUACCCAGUGUCACUUGAAUCGUCGUGCCCUACUGAUGCGUGUGUCCUCAGGAAGCUCCACAUCACGUACUGUUACAUUGACAAGGUUCCAGGUUGGAUGAGCCUGCUUGAAAACCUCGGGGAACUAAACCUUUAUAUGUUCAGUGUGAGACCAGAAGAUGUUGCGGUUCUUGGAGCAAUUCCAUCUUUGCAUUUUCUUGGACUGAGGACUUACUUCGGCACAGAUGGGAGGAUCUUGGUCGCCGGCUUCAGAAGCUUGAAGUAUUUCGACCUGGAAAUCUUCUGCUGCGGGACCUCGCUGGAGUUUGAAGCAGGGUCGAUGCCGAGUCUUGAGCAACUCAAGCUUGAGCUCCGCGUGCACAAGAUGGAGUGCCUGAAUGGCGCUUCUGAUUUCGGCAUCCACCGCCUCUCCGCCCUCACCAAGGUUGAGAUCAGCAUUUAUGGCGACACCGAUGGUGUCUACGAUCUGUAUGAAGACAUCACCGUCAAAUGCGUCGCGAGCCGCCUCGAAACCGCCAUCGAGAAUGCCUUGGGUGUGUGCGUGUGUUGUGGUGGCGUGCAUUGUACUGGGUUGUGAGGAUCGUGCUUUAUAUAUAAAGCGGGGCGAAAGCCUUUUUCGGUAAACCGCCAUCGAGAAGCUUCCCAAGCAUCCUGCUCUCUCGUUUCUCCCGGGUGGAUUAUCGCCAUGUCUGCAUUUUGGAAAGUUCAUCGAAUCCGUAAGUUCUCUUCUCUGCCACAGUUGCUUGCAUCGAUCACUUCAUUUCAAUCGCCGUAUUAUUGACUAAUACAUUGCUCUGUUCACUGGGCUUUGUAUUCAUUUUCCUUCUGGUGCUUGAUCGAAGCAGUACAAUCGAAGGUAUGGAGAGUCAACAUGGAGUAUUGGAGGUUGUGAAAUUGAAGAGGAACAUGGGGAGACAAGUACGAGCUGAAUAAACUUGAGCGGAAAGGUUGCCACAUGUCGCGCCGAUGGUACGCCUUCCCUGCACCCUAAUUUUCAUUAUUUAAUACUUCCUCAGUCUCAAAUUAUUGUCUUAGAUUUGUCUAGAUAGGGCUAAGACGACUAAUUCGGGCGGAGGGAGUAUAUGGCUACUGUCUUUUAAACUCAUACUGGUGUUGAACUAACCAUUGUUAUUUCCUUUCUGGCGUUUCAAGCAGCACCAGGAUGACUGAAGAAAAAGAAGAUCAAUGCCCUGAUGUUGAGUCUUCUUUGCUGUUGUUUCAAACUUUUUGGGACUCUGUCUAGGUCCCUACUCGCUGUCAUUUCUGUACUGCUGCUCUACUUUGGGUUGUUGUAUUCAUUGAUGUUUGAGUAUCUGCGCCUUCGUAUUUUCCGUUGGAGCUACAUCUGUGAUUGUCGGUCUACCGUAUCUAAUCAGAGAUGCAGGGAUUGGGGAUUGUUAUCCUGAAGCGUGGAUACUAACGGACUUAAUGCAUCUGUUCCGCCUGUGGUUUCGUUGAGCCACUAUGAUAUACUCCCUCCGAUCCAAAACAAUUGUCGUGGUUUUAAUUCAAAUUUGAACUAAAUCCAUGACACUUAUUUUGGUUUGGAGGGAGUAUAUUUUUGUAGGGUCUGUCUAAAUUCGUUCGUUUAAAUUCGUCCGCAUGCCUGGAGUCAGUUUCCCUGUUCGUUUUGUGUUGGCCUGCGUUGGCUCACCACGUGGGCUGCUGUUGGGUUGUAUUGACAUUGUCCCUUCGUUGUGCCUGUGUUUGUUUUUUAAUUUUUUAUUUAUUUGUGCUUUUUACUGGAAUUGGUAGAACAUUGUCCCGUUGGUGUAUUGCUACACAACACAAUGUAGCUCUUAUUUUUCACCCUAGCAUUGCUAAUGCUCUGUUCCUUCUUUUUUUGUCAUCCUGUUUUCUUUUUCAAUUUUUUUGUAUUUUUAAAUGAUAAAGGAAUAUUUAAUGGAACAAAGAAAAAAAAAUAAAAACAAACAAAAUAAAAAGAAGAGCACAAUUUAAUUGUCUGUGACCUACGAAUAACUAUAUGUGUCCGACUAGUGUGCAAAUGGGUAUCAAUAUUAUUUUGGAAGGGGAAAAAGUAAUUUGCAUGUGAAUGACAUGUAAUUGUGUGCGAUAUGUAAUUGUGUUCGAUCAAGGACAUGCAAUUGCAUGUGGCUGACAUGUGUGCAACUAGGUAGACGAAGAAAGCAACUCAUGUGGCCGACGUGUGUGCCACCUAAUGGCAAAUAUUGAAAAAAGAAAAACAAUUAAGUUUGAUGGUAAAUAUUUAAAAUACGGAUUUGAAUCUUCCCUCAUCCCUCACAAAACAACAAAGAGUUGCACUCUCUUUGAAGACAUGCAAUUAUAGUCUGGCGACGCUUGCACUUGCGUGCAUAGUAGCAACUGCAAUUGCCUUCCUUCACCCGGACAAAACGGUACUAAGUUGGAGUUGCAAUCAGGAGACGCAUAUGCAAUUGCGUAACUAUUGGAAGACAUGCACUUGCAGUCGGGACGAAGCUUGCAGUUGUGUGCCUACUAGCAUACUCCCUUCACAACAACAUUAAAAAUGUGUCCGAGGAUCUGGACAAGUAACUCUUCUCUCCUUUAAUAUGAUCCUUUUUAUGAGAAAAUGAGCGCCGUUGUCAGAAUCAGACACAAAAAAAAUAUUUUUUCUUUCUUCAUCCUUGGAAAAACAAAAAAACACAAAAGAAGAAUAGGAAAAAAAUUGUAUGAUUUCAAAAAAUAAGAAAAAAAACACAAACUGGUUGUGAGACCGGGUGCUUGAUUUGUGUUUGCAGGCAUGGCAGAAAACGUGGGUGUUAUGGUGCUCGUGUGACACAUAGUGAGGGUAGGGGAUUCACGGGGGAGCUCCCCCCUCCGACCAAGCAAAAAAGUCUAGUUGCAAAAAAUGUUUGUAAAAAGACAUGUAGUUAUACUCCAGGGGAAAGCGAUUGCAAUUGCAUGACUAGUUGUCCUCCUCUCUCUUGCCGCCGCCCCUUCGACAAAAUAAAGGCGCCUAGUUGCAACUAAGUUAGAAGACACUAAGUUACGACCAUGCUAGAAGACAUGCGGUUGCAUGGUAUAGUUGGACAUGCAGCUGGACACCUCUCUCUCGCUGCCGCCCCCUCUGACGAAAUAAGGGCCCCCCUGAGUUGCGACCAAGUUACAAGACAUGCAGUUGCAUGCCCAUUGUGGGACAUGCAACUGGCCCCAUCUCUCUCGACGGCGUCCCCUCCGACCAAACAAGAGUCCAUCCCAGUUGCGACCAUGGUCUAAGACAUGUAGUUGCGUGCCUAGUGUGGGACAUGCAACUGGGCCUCUCCCCGUACAGCAAAAAAUGGAAGUUGAGUUGCAACCAAGUUAUAAGACAUGCAGUUGCAACCAAGUUAUAAGACAUGCAGUUGCAACCAAGUUAUAAGACAUAUAGUUGUGUGCCUAGUGUGGGGCAUGCAACUGGGCCCCAUCUCUCUCGAUGCCGUCCCCUCUGACAAAACAAAGGUCACCCAGUUGUGACCAAUUUAGAAGACAUGGAGCUGCGUGCCCAUUGUGGGACAUGCAAACUGGCGCCUCUCCCCGCACAACAAAAAUGGAAGUUGAGUUGCAACCAAAUUAUAGGACAUGCGGUUGCGUGCCUAGUGUGGGACAUGCAACUGGUGCCUCUCCCCGUACAACAAAAAAUGAAAGUUGAGUUGCUACCAAGUUAUAAGACAUGUAGUUGUGAGUUGUGACAAUGCUCAAAGACAUGCAGUUGCGUGCCCGUUGUGGGACAUACACCUAGCGCCUCUCCCCGUACAACAAAAAUGGAAGUCGAGUUGUAACCAAGUUAUAAGAUAUGCAGUUGCGACCAAGUUAGAAGACAUGCAGUUGCAUGCCUGGUGUGGGGCAUGCAACUGGGCCCCAUCUCUCUCGACACCGCCCCCUCCGAAAAAACAAGGGUCCGACAAAACAAAUGUCCUCCCAGUUGCGACCAAGUUAGAAGACAUGGAGUUGCAUGCCCAUUGUGGGACAUGCAACUGGCGCCUCUCCCCACACAACAAAAAUGGAAGUCGUGUUGCAACCACACUAUAAGACAUGCAGUUGCGACCAAGUCAGAAGAUAUGCAGUUGCACACCUAGUGUGGGACAUGCAAUUGGGCCCCAUCUCUCUCUAUGUCGUCCCCUCCGACAAAACAAAGGCCCCCUAGUUGAUACCAAGUUAGAAGACAUGAAGUUGCGUUCCCAUUGUGGCAUAUGCAACUGGCGCCUCUCCCCGGACAACAAAAAUGGAAGUCAAAUUGCAAACAAGUUAUAAGACAUGCAGUUGCACGCCUAGUGUGGGACAUGCAACUGGGUCCCAUCUCUCUCGACGUAGCCCCCUUCGACAAAACAAAGAUCCCCUAGUUGAUACCAAGUUAUAAGACAUGCAGUUGCGUGCACAUUGUGGGACAUGCAACUGGCGCCUCUCCCCGCACAACAAAAAUGGAAGUCGAGUUGCAACCAAGUAAAGCAAACAAAAGGGCUAUACAAAUCCUAGUUAUGGCCCAAUAAUACAUUUGAGGGGAUUUGAGUUCAAAGAUAAGCUUCAAAAACAUGGAUCUGAUUUCACGAAAGUAAUGUUUCAGCAAAAUCAUAUUCUUCGACCUACUAAUGUCGACUAGAAUAAAACAAAACAAGUGAAUUGAAUCACUCUUGCUAAUGGCUUUAGUAAUGUGUAUGAGGGGAUAUGAGAGAAGCACUUCUUGAGACACCAAAAAAUAUCCCAGUAAAGAACAAUAUAAAUGAUAGCACUCACCAGAUUAAAAAAACAAAAAAAUGUGUCAAAAAAUAGAUAACUAGCAGAGGUUUAUAUCCUAAAAGACAAAAAAAAAAUAUCAACUUAGCAAAAACCUUAAACACACGUCUGUCUUGUCACCUACUCAUGAACAUAUGGUGUAAAAAAUGCACUAUACUCUCUGUACAGAGGGGGUGUAAAAAUGUAUCUAUAAGUAUGCACAAACAUAAAAAAAA
rnacentral:lncRNA from 1 species